CAGACAAUUAUAUUUGUGAACACAAAACGUAGUGCGGCUAUGUUGCAUAAGGCACUUGUUGACUUGGGUUAUGAAGUGACCACCAUUCAUGGUGCACUCACUCAUGAAGAUCGAGACAAGAUAGUCAAAGAGUUCAAAGAUGGUUUGACUCAAGUUCUGAUAUCAACUGACGUUCUUGCCCGUGGCUUUGAUCAACAGCAGGUUAAUUUGGUUAUCAAUUAUGAUCUUCCAGUGAAGUAUGAGACUCCAUCAGAGCCUCAUUAUGAGGUGUACUUGCAUAGGAUUGGUAGAGCAGGACGUUUUGGUCGCAAAGGAGCUGUCUUCAACUUUGUGAUGACUGAUAGGGACGAGAUGAUCAUGGGAAAAAUUGAAAAGUAUUUUGGCACCCAAGUAAAAGAGGUCCCAUCCUGGAACAGUGAGGAGGAUUUUAAGAUAGCCCUGAAAGAAGCUGGGUUGUUGUAAUGUCAGCGACAUCUGUUAUUGUUGAGCUUGGCCAGUACACAAGCAUGGAUGUUGGAGCAGCAUAGUCUCUUGAAGAGUUGCAGAUUUUGUCACAAACAUGAAUUUUGGUGAUUUGAGUGAUCGUAAUUUUGCAGAUUUUGUCACGGAUACCAGUUAUAGUUGUCAAGUCGACCAUGCUAUAAAGUUGCCCG
rnacentral:misc_RNA from 1 species